CAAGUCAUCGGGGGAGUUUCUCUGCCUGUCUCUUCUUGCAGUGUACUUUGGGAGGGGAAAAUUCUCAGAUUUCUGUUUCUGGUUGCUUGGUUUUCCUCAAAGCAGACACUCAUUUGGGUCUGGUGGUUGGCUGUGCAUACCAGACAGUGUACAUCUAUUUAUAAUUCCACACAUAUAUUUUUAUCUUUUUUCUGCUUUCUGCUUGAGGUUGGAAAAGCCCAUGGAAAACAUGACUAGACUGUUUUUAUAUUAUGCUAAUUGGAGAUCAUAUUACUGUGUUCUUGAUCCUGGUUUCUACUUGGCAUGAAGGAAACUGGUAAAAGGUUAGAAAUUCAGGCGAUGGCUGCUCUCCCUGGAGACUGUGGUUGUUAUUACAUUAUAUCAGUGAAUGGGCAUUCUGAUUACUAGUGUUCUAUUAGAGAUGGUAGACAAAAGGUAUCCUUCGAGGGUCUGAGCGUGUGUGUGUGUGUGUGUGUGUGUGUGUGUGUGCGUGUGUGUGUUGCUUCCCAGUAACUUUAGGAAUCUAGACAGCUUUAGACAAUCCCUGGGAAUCGUCAUUCCAGGCUCUAAAGGAGGGACUGGGGCAGUUUGAGCUUCUCUUUCCUGGGUCUCCCCUUGGGAUUGAGCUUGUAGUGUGGGAGGGAAGAUGCUUCAUGUUAUAUGGAUAUUUCUUCCAGCCCUCUCAAACCAGGGUUAACUGUCACUGGUGGUGGGAGCUUGGUUUCUCAGAAGCCUCUUUACAAGUUUGGCCAUGAAAACACCUUUUCUCACGAGAUCAGAGUUCACUUCAGGUUGCUUCCCUGUUCCUCGGCAUCUCACCAUGUUGCAUUUGCAUUUCUUUCACAUCAGCUCUGAGCUGGAAUGAGGGAAGUCUUGGAGGAAGCUUGAGAAGUACAAGGGGUUAGUGAGAAGCAAAGCGCUCUGCAGUAACUGCUCAGAUCCUCCUGAAUGGAAGAACAAGAUUCACCUGUCAAACCCAUCCAGUGCCUUGUGCUCAGCUGGACAGUCAAAUGCAGUUUCCUCUCUCAUGAUUCCGUAAUGUGUUCUACAUUAACCCUCACCGGGACUCUUCUUUCUUUUUCUAUCCUUCCUUUUUCUUAUCCUUUUCUCCAUACCAACAACUACCAUUUAGUGAGAAUUUUCACAUGAAGCUCUAGGUCUUGCACUUCCAUAUAUUCUUAUAUUUAACCCCUAGAGCAUGCAAGGAGAUAGAAUGAUCCUCACCAAAUGGAUAAACUAAGGCUUGGUGAGUUUAAAUAAAUAGCCUACUGUCACACAAAGGUGAGAAGCAGCUUUAAAAUGUGAACCUAGGUUCAGCACUGUCUACCAGACAAAAUGCCCUCCUUCGUUUCAUUUUUCUACCCUCACAGUGCUUUUUUUUUUGUUCCUUUGUUUCCCAUGUUCAUAGCAGUGUCUCAUUAUGUGCUCAACUAAAGCACUUUUAGAGUCCUAUUGUCUGAGUAAUUGUGUAACUGUACUUCUUGCCUUUCUCAGUAGAUUUUCUCUUUCAUCCCUUUCCUGAAUAUCUCAUGUUUCCACAUGUAUCCCAACAGUUUGCAUAACAUUCGUAACCUGAGCACUGCCAAGACUGAAUCACAGCUAUUUAGCCAUCCGAGGUUAACCUAAAAGGGAAAGCACUCUCCGUGAGCGUCAGUCACUAGAUGGCGCGCUAAACACGCGCAGGGCAGGACCAGGGUUGGGAAUAUACAACAGACAAAAUGGAUCAAGCACCAGCUCUGGAGGGAGUCACAUCCUACUAGCAAGAGAGACCAAUAGAUGUCAAGCAGUAACAAGCACUUCAAAGAAAAGCAAUUAUAAUUCAAGGAAAGGUGAUAGCAAUUGGAGGAAGAAAAGUGGUAUUUAAAAUGGUAUCAAAGGCUGCCUUGUUACUAGUUAUAUCUUGCAUGAAAAAGAGAAUCUUUUAUAUAUCUUCCUGUUUGUCAAUUAUUAAGCCUUUGAAAUUAGAGUUUCAUUCAUAGUCUGAAAUCUCUAGAAGCAAUUCUAUUGAUUGAGGUAGCUGAUCAAAUUGUUUAAUUCUGUCUCGGGUGAAAAUAAUAGAUGACUGUAAAGUAAUAAAUUUCCUGCAUAACUCUCUAACUGACUUUGGAGAAACAUGUAAAAGGAAUUUCAAAAAUUCUUUGAAUCUCUGGCAUAGGCUGUUCUAAUAAAUGAAAAUAAUGUAUAUAUAAUAAAUAAAUAAUUUACACAUUGCU